rnacentral:lncRNA from 1 species
GCCCCUUUCUAUGUAGACUUACAUGUAAGCAAGUCUCACAUGGGCCUAGCUUUAUAGGUAAGUGGCCCUUAAACAGCAGCAUCUCCGUGUGAUUGAAGAUCAGGAGGCCCAUGGAAGUCCAAGAUAAAGAUGAAAAAGGUACUUCUUAAAAGCCAAGGAGUCCCAAAUGAACGAAUGUUGGAAAGGGGAUGAGCACCCAUGUGUGAGUGUGGAUUUCUCAGUGAGCAGGGUGGGGCAGGGAGAAUCACCGCAGACCAGAGCUAGACCCAGGAUGCCAGUGCUCCUGAGCUCCACUGCCACGUGUGCAUUCUCUUACCAGGCUUCCCCCUCCUCACGGGACUGUCUACCUGCUGUCAGAUCAAAACAAGGAGGGGGGAGCGGUGUCUUUUGGUCCUGCUGGAUCGCCAUUUGCACUCUCCCCUCCACCUGAUUUCAGAGCUCUUCUGGUGUCUACAGCUGAUUAUUUCUACAGGAAGAACAUGGAAGUUUAUUUCUUAUGCUCCCGAAGACAAACACUCUUUAAAGAGGCUCAUCGACAAGGACAUGUAUUAUGAGCCAGACACCCCAGCAACCAGAGGUUUAUCCCUAAAUUGAAACAUGACACUCUUGAAAUGUUUAGCUCAAAAAAGAAAGGAGGAAAAAAACAAAAGGGAAGAAAAAGGGAAAAGUCACCAGAUCCACUAUGAGCAGUAAAAGCUGAUCGUCGAUCCUGUGGUGCAGACGCCGAGGAGACCCCUCUAAGGUGACACCUGUGGGAGUCUGGCCGUGACUGUCUGCUCCAUGUCUGCUUGUCGGAGAACAGUGAGGGCACUUGUUAGUCCUCUUACAAGGACUGAGUUCUUGACUUCUAACUGGCUGUUGGCUGGAGGCUGCUCUGAGGUCCUAAAGGCCACCCACAGUUCCCUGUCAUGUGACAUUCUCUAGGGGCAGUUACAAUAUGGCUUUUUCAAGACCAGCAGGAGAAUCUCUCUAGUGUGUGCUAGCAAGAUGGAUUCAUAUAUACAUGGUAAUGUAGUCACAGAUGUGACAUCCAGUCUCAUCUUCACCGUAUUCUAUUGAUUAGAAGCACAGGUUGCACCCACACUCAAAUGGAGGGGAUUAUACAGGGUGUGACUCAUUGGCGAUCACCUUAGGGUCUGUCCGCCACAGCUGUCAAUGAAUGCUAGCUGUUCACCUUUAUUCAAAUCUAAACUCUCCCAGAAAGAUAUAGAUGAGACUGCAUGAUCAAAUGCAUCAUAGGCCCCAUACCUGGUCUCUCAUAUCUGUCAUUAGAGGGCUGGCUGUUCUCUAGAACCAGCUCUGCAGCUGCCCCUUCUUGGUGUCCUCCCACACCUCAGCAACAUGGCAGAGGGCCUUGAAUCAGUGUCAGACUGGGUGAACUUGUCUUCACAUCUGAUUGCUUCUUCUGGGGGAACUCUUCUUUUUGACAAAUCAAAAGUCCACCUGUGUGAUGGAGAUCGCAUUACACUGCUGCCCCUCCUCCCCACCGAAUGUGCACUCUUCGGAGGGAGGAGGCAGGCAAGGCCCAGGCUGCCUCUUAUUCCUCAUGUAUCCCACCAAUUUGAAAGGCGUCCACAAAUGAACUACAGACAUUUUUAGAGCCAGCAACUGUGUGCAACUUCUGCCUCACUCCCUUCUUUGGCCAACCCUGGGGUUUACUGAAUUAUUUUUUCUUAAUGGCUUUUUGAUAAGGACAAGUACGGUCACACACUGCAUUCUGCCGUUUUGGUCAAUGGCGGACUGCAUAUAUGAUGGUUGAUCCCACAAGAUUAGUACCAUAUAGUCUCGAUGUUGACAAAUAAAAAUGGCAAGCAAUAGGAUAUAUUGGAGUAUAUGAGGAAGCCAUUUGGUAUCAACCUAAUUCAGCCUGACUUUGUUUUUUCCAAAAGGGCCUGACUGUGGCUAUUGAGCACGCAUUGCAUAUCUGCCUAGACAUUUCCUAUGGCCAGAACAAAGGCCCUUGAGACAAAGGUGCAACUUCCCCCCACAGUAGCAUUUCCUUAGGGAUAAGCAUUUUUCCUUAGGCUAGGAACUGAUUGCUGCACUCACCUUUGACCACCCAGCUCACCUGUGACCACUCAGCUGGAGACAACAGACUGCCACCCUGCUGUGUUCACUGAGACAGAAGACCUACCUGCUGUUUCCAUCAAUGCUGUGCCGACAGAGCAGUCUCGCGACUAUUGUAAAAGGGACAUUUCAAUCCUAUGUGAAACAUUCUCUCUGGGGGUAUAUAACCAGUCUGUGCACC